CCUUUCACACUUCUUGGGCUAAGUUGGGCCUACUGCAUCUAUGUAUAAUUGCAAACCAGCUGUCCUCCUGGAUACAAAAUUGUGUGGUCAAGUCAAAAUCAUGUAAGAUGUGGGUACUUGAGGGGCUUAUAUUGGCAGCCAUCAUGCAGCUUGAUCGAAAACAAAUACGCCCAUCCAAACCAUUUACCUUAUUGAUCAAUAAGGUACAUUGCUCUGACUCUUCAAAAUUGUGCCAUAUUCAUGUCGGAUCUUUCAAAACUGCAUCGCUUUGGAAGUAUCCG
rnacentral:lncRNA from 1 species